CUUCACCCCUCCAAAAUAGAGUUGGUUCGGUCCUUAGCCGUCUUUUCCAAAAAGUUUUCUCAGCUACGGAUAGCUGGGCCGGCCCGACCGCAACGAUCGCGUCAGGGAGGAUGGACGGGAGGAAGAGGGCCAGGUUGAAAAAAAGAAAGGCAUUGGAGGAGUAUGCUGCCAAAUGUGCCAAGUUUACAGAUUUAUUUUCAAGAGGACAAACACAAGUGGCAACUGCUUCGGAGCAGCAGAUAAGACAGUCUCCUGCUGAAAAUGAUGAGCCCGACAUUUGCAAUGAGGCCAUGACGACAGGGACAGGUAGAGAGGAUAACAGUGGACACUAUAUGAAUUAAAGUUAUAUAUUCUAAGAAAGAGCAGUACAGUACUUGAUGAACCAAUAUGCUUUUUUUACUCAGAAGUGGGUGUAGUAAAGGAGUAAGUCACCACUAUAUAAUACUCAUGCAGAAAAAUGACAAUGACCAUGACAAUGACGGCUCCCAUGAGGUCUCACUCCAACAAAUCUGGCCUACUGCCUAAUCUGAGUCUGACACCCCUGCUACGCCCUUCUGCCUUUUUUAAUGUUGUGCAUAUUUUUUGUUAACUUCUCAUCUUAAGUGGAUUAUUAUUGUUGUAUUUAACCGUUACAUUAUUUGUUGGACCAUGGUAUUAAUAAAAGAACUACAGGAUAGUAAGAGCUGAA